UACGUAGGAGGCAAGCGUUGUCCGGAAUUACUGGGCGUAAAGCGCGUGUAGGUGGUGGGACAAGUCUGCUGUGAAAGCGCCUGGCUUAACCGGGCGAGGUCGGCGGAAACUGUUCGACUCGAGGACGGUAGAGGGGGGUGGAAUUCCCGGUGUAGUGGUGAAAUGCGUAGAGAUCGGGAGGAACACCUGUGGCGAAAGCGGCGCACUGGACCAUAACUGACGCUGAGGCGCGAAAGCUAGGGGAGCAAACAGG
rnacentral:rRNA from 1 species